GUUGAACCAUUCUCCAAUCAAGAAGAAGAUAUUCCUUCAAGUCCAGAUCGCACGAGGCAUCCGUUACCAGCAAAUACCCAGAUCGCAAUAGCAUCUGUUAUCAGGAGAGUGAUGGGAGAUGUGGAAAAG